rnacentral:rRNA from 1 species
CAGUUGGGCACUCUAGCGAGACUGCCGGUAAUAAACCGGAGGAAGGUGGGAUGACGUCAAAUCAUCAUGCCCCUUAUGACCUAGGCUACACACGUGCUACAAUGGUUGGUACAACGAGUUGCGAGUCGGUGACGGCGAGCUAAUCUCUUAAAGCCAAUCUCAGUUCGGAUUGUAGGCUGCAACUCGCCUACAUGAAGUCGGAAUCGCUAGUAAUCGCGGAUCAGCACGCCGCGGUGAAUACGUUCCCGGGCCUU